AUGGGGUUCAACAGAGCACAGUUGUUUGCUGCCUUCACCCUGGGCUUGCUCAUCAUGUCCGACAGUGCGGAGGCUGGUCAUAUUCAGCAAUGCGGUGCCUGGAGCCAUCUCUUCCAUGGCCCAUGCAAAAGCAGCAGGAGAUGCGCGGAGACAUGCCACCAAGAGCACUUCACCCGCGGCCAUUGCUCACGUAAAGGGGUUGUCGGCGACCAGAUCAAUGGGGUCGGGUAUAAAUAUUGCAAAUGUACCGGAAGCUGUGCUCCUCCACCGCCGUCGGAAGUGCCGGAGCCGCCGCCACAACCAAACGUCAUGAAAGCGAGAAAAAUGUACUACUGA
rnacentral:rRNA from 1 species